GCCUCGAGAACACCAGAAUCAGUAUGAAAAGACUACAGAUUAGGGGUACUCUUUUCAAACAGAAAAUACUUUUGGGAAAAAAACUUUAAUCAUAAAAGGUCAGUUUGUUACUUAAGAGUUCAUCUGUCUCUUGGGAGAGAAUCUGCCUCUCCGACACCAUUUCUCAUUCCUUGCAUUCCUACAACAGGAAACAGCCAAAGAAAACACAGACACUCAGCAAGACUGACUCUAUGGAAGGCUAACUGGAGGUAGGAAAUUAUUUUUGGAAAGCAACCUCUUCCAAAGUUGAU
rnacentral:lncRNA from 1 species